rnacentral:rRNA from 1 species
AUUGAACGCUGGCGGCAUGCUUUACACAUGCAAGUCGAACGGUAACAGGGAGCUUGCUCCGCUGACGAGUGGCGAACGGGUGAGUAAUGCGUCGGAACGCACCGAGUAAUGGGGGAUAACGCAGCGAAAGCUGUGCUAAUACCGCAUACGCUCUGAGGAGGAAAGCGGGGGAUCUUAGGACCUCGCGUUAUUCGAGCGGCCGACGUCUGAUUAGCUAGUAGGUGAGGUAAGAGCUCACCUAGGCGACGAUCAGUAGCGGGUCUGAGAGGAUGAUCCGCCACACUGGGACUGAGACACGGCCCAGACUCCUACGGGAGGCAGCAAUGGGGAAUUUUGGACAAUGGGCGCAAGCCUGAUCCAGCCAUGCCGCGUGUCUGAAGAAGGCC